UACGUAGGUGGCAAGCGUUAUCCGGAUUUACUGGGUGUAAAGGGCGUGUAGGCGGGACUGCAAGUCAGAUGUGAAAAUUAUGGGCUCAACCCAUAACCUGCAUUUGAAACUGUAGUUCUUGAGUGAUGGAGAGGCAGGCGGAACUCCGUGUGUAGCGGUGAAAUGCGUAGAUAUACGGAGGAACACCAGUGGCGAAGGCGGCCUGCUGGACAUUAACUGACGCUGAGGCGCGAAAGCGUGGGGAGCAAACAGG
rnacentral:rRNA from 1 species